UACGAGGGGGGCGAGCGUUGUUCGGAAUUAUUGGGCGUAAAGGGUGCGUAGGCGGCCUGACAAGUCUGAUGUGAAAUUCCUGGGCUCAACCCAGGGCCUGCAUCGGAAACUGUCGGGCUUGAGUAUGGGAGAGGUGAGUGGAAUUUCCGGUGUAGCGGUGAAAUGCGUAGAUAUCGGAAGGAACACCUGUGGCGAAAGCGGCUCACUGGACCAUUACUGACGCUGAGGCACGAAAGCUAGGGGAGCAAACAGG
rnacentral:rRNA from 1 species